rnacentral:rRNA from 1 species
GAUGAACGCUGGCGGCGUGCCUAAUACAUGCAAGUCGAGCGAACAGACGAGGCGCUUGCUCCUCAGACGUUAGCGGCGGACGGGUGAGUAACACGUGGAUAACCUAUCUAUAAGACUGGGAUAACUUCGGGAAACCGGAGCUAAUACCGGAUAAUAUAUUGAACCGCAUGGUGCAAUAGUGAAAGACGGUUUUGCUGUCACUUAUAGAUGGAUCCGCGCCGCAUUAGGUAGUUGGUAAGGUAACGGCUUACCAAGGCAACGAUGCGUAGCCGACGUGAGAGGGUGAUAGGCCACACGGGAACUGAGACACGGUCCAGACUCCUACGGGAGGCAGCAGUAGGGAAUCUUCCGCAAUGGGCGAAAGCCUUACGGAGCAACGCCGCGUGAGUGAUGAAGGUCUUCGGAUCGGAAAACUCUGUUAUUAGGUAAGAACAAAUGUGUAAGUAACUAUGCACGUCUUGACGGUACCUAAUCAGAAAGCCACGGCUAACUACGUG